rnacentral:misc_RNA from 1 species
GCAGACCAAGGAACAAUCGCAGCUGACGGCAACACAGACUCGCACUGUCAACAAGCAUGGCGAUGAGAUCAUCACCUCCACCACCAGCAACUAUGAGACCCAGACUUUCUCAUCCAAGACUGAGUGGAGGGUCAGGGCCAUCUCUGCUGCCAACCUGCACCUAAGGACCAAUCACAUCUAUGUUUCAUCUGACGACAUCAAGGAGACUGGCUACACCUACAUCCUUCCCAAGAAUGUGCUUAAGAAGUUCAUCUGCAUAUCUGACCUUCGGGCCCAACUGGGGAGCUUGUGAGCAGUGCAGAUUCCUGGACCCCACUCAGGAGAUUCUGAUGUGAUUGCAGGAUACCUAUAUGGGGUGAGCCCACCAGAUAACCCCCAGGUGAAGGAGAUCCGCUGCAUUGUGAUGGUGCCGCAGUGGGGCACUCACCAGACCGUGCACCUGCCUGGCCAGCUGCCCCAG